rnacentral:sRNA from 1 species
UCCGCUCUGUUGAACAGGGUUAUUAAUGUAACAAGUAAGCCAAAGUUCCCUUUCAGAUUCAAUUCAAAGUGUCCUCUAGUUUCAUGGUCUCAUUUAAAUAAUUCGUCUCAAAGCAACACCUGUAUUUUAAAAUUUUUUAUUUUUAUAAGGGACAUAACAUGUCUAACACUACUACUGGCACUGUAAAAUGGUUCAACGAAACUAAAGGUUUUGGUUUCAUUUCUCAAAGCAACGGCGGUCCAGAUGUAUUCGUACACUUCCGCGCUAUCGCUUCUGAAGGUUUCAAAACUUUAGCAGAAGGCCAAAAAGUAUCUUUUGUUGUAGAACAAGGUGCUAAAGGUCCUCAAGCUGCUAACGUACGUGCUGAAUAAUUUCGCAUGAAUGUGUGAGCGUUGGCACCACGCCAGCGCUCUUAUU